rnacentral:rRNA from 1 species
AUUGAACGCUGGCGGCAGGCCUAACACAUGCAAGUCGAGCGGAGCGGCAGACGGGUGCGUAAGGCCUAGGAAUCUGCCUGGUAGUGGGGGAUAACGUACGGAAACGGGCGCUGAUACUGCAAACUCUCAGAUGAGCCUAGGGCGGAUUAGCUAGUUGGUGGGGUAAAGGCCUACGAAGGCGACGAUCCGUAACUGGUCUGAGAGGAUGAGCAGUCACACUGGAACUGAGACACGGUCCAGACUCCUACGGGAGGCAGCAGUGGGGAAUAUUGGACAAUGGGCGAAAGCCUGAUACAGCCAUGCCGCGUGUAUGAAGAAGGUCUUCGGGUUGUAAAGCACUUUAAGUUGGGAGGCGUUACCAGCAGAAUAAGCACCGGCUAACUUCGUGCCAGCAGCCGCGGUAAUUC